rnacentral:rRNA from 1 species
CAAUAGCGUAUAUUAAAGUUGUUGCAGUUAAAAGCUCGUAGUCGGAUUUCGGGUCGGGCCGAGCGGUCUGCCGAUGGGUAUGCACUGUUUGGCGCGGCCUUCUUUCCGGAGACCGCGGCUACUCUUAACUGAGCGGGCGUGGGAGACGGAUCGUUUACUUUGAAAAAUCAGAGUGUUUCUAGCAGGCAGCUCGCUCUUGCAUAGGUUAGCAUGGGAUAAUUUAAUAGGACUCUGGUGCUAUUUUGUUGGUUUCGAACACCGGAGUAAUGAUUAAUAGGGGAUAGUUGGGGGCGAUUCGUAUUUAACUUGUCAGAGGUGGAAAUUACUUGGAUUUGUUUAAAGAACGGACUACUGCGAAAGACAUUUGUCCAAGGAAUGUUUUCUAUGUAUCAAGAACGAAAGUUAAGGGGAGUCGAAGACGAUCAGAUACCAU